GUUUUGAUUUGGAUGUGAUGUCAAGUCCAUAAAUAUGUUCUUUCAUAAGAGCCAUCAAAAAGAAUUCUCUCCAUGCAUUUUAAGCUCUCCAUAUCUCUAACAAAAAACUUGGUCCCAAACCAAUGCAUUCCACAGCCUUGAUGUGUCUCACAAAGUUUCCUCUUACAGGACUUGAAUUUUCAUGACCCCAAUCCAUUGCCUCUAAUACCAAUCCCUGAUAGUCUCCUCUAAUACCACUUGUUGAAAACUAGAGGAUAAGAAUGGACUUAAAUGAAACUUUUAUUUGGAGGGACUGAAUUGUAAGUUUGCAAAUCACUCACACACUUUUUUCACUCGCGUGCAUAGCACUCUUACCACAUUGAUAAGCUCUCACACAUAUGCACUUGCAUACACA
rnacentral:misc_RNA from 1 species